rnacentral:misc_RNA from 1 species
GUGAAGAUUUGGGCAGGCCAUACGGACGCCACAAAGUGUCCCUGGCCGCCUACACCCACUAUACAUCCACAAACCCGUGUGCACUGUCCUUGGAAAGGGCAUUUGGAGAAGUUUUUUGUGGCCUCUCUUGGGGUCUUUCUUCGCUACAAACUCGAAUGGUUAGUAUGAACGUGGAACUUGGUUGGACCGUCACUGGCCAACAAACUAUACA